rnacentral:lncRNA from 1 species
GGGAGGCUAAGGGAGGAGGAUCCCUUGAGAUCAGGAGUUCAAGACCAGCCUGGGCAACAUAGUAAGAUCUUGCCUCUAAGAAAAAAAAAUUUUUUUUGAGAUGAAGUCUCAGUCUGUCACCCAGGCUGGAGUGCGGUGAUGUGAUCUUGGUUCACUGCAACCUCCACCUCCCAGAUUCAAGUGAUUCUCCUGCCUCAGCCUCUAUAGUACCUGGAACUACAGGUGCCCACCACCAAGCUGGCCAGGCUGGUCUCAAACUCCUGAACUUCUGUCCCCUGGGCUGGAAUGCAGUGGCACGAUCUUGGCUCACUGCAACUUCUGCCUCCCUGGUUCAAGUGAUUCUUCUACCUCAGCCUCCUGAAUAUCUAAGAUUCCAGUUGCACACUACCACACCAGGCUAAUUUUUAUAUAUUUUUAGUAGACACUGGGUAUCACCAUGUUGGUCAGGCUGGUCUCAAACUCCUGACCUUGUGAUUGUUUGGUAGAAAGUCCCACCAUCUUUCCCCCAGGUUUCUUGCCCCCACCCUCCCCCCAGGCUUCCUGCUGCCCUGAGAAAUGCCCGCCAAGCCUGCUCUGUUCUGCCCAGCAACAACAAGCAGCCAAUCAUCGCAGCAGGAAAGCCCGCCAAGCCUCGGCCUAUCCUGAACAGACACGUAACCCUCUGAGCCACCUCAGCAGUCUGCCCAGAGACGAACAGCCUAUCCUAAGCUCCUACGACACUCCGCCAGCCCUGUGUCCACGCCCUGUCCACCCCCCCAUAAAACCCUCCUACCCCAGCUGCGCAGUCGCAGCCAGCCCCGAUCUCCUUCCUUUCCUGGCCUGCCCGCUGGUCCCAAUAAACCUGAACUCGGCUUACAACUCUCGAGCUGUUAUUUGGGGUCAGGUACCGGGCAGGGGUCUACAAGGGGGUCGCACAUAUGGUGCCGAAACCCGGGACGGAGGGUCGCUAGACCCCCUAGUGACCCCCUCCCUCCAGCGACCUCCCCAGCCCUCCUCCAAUUCGGCCUCAGCACUCCGGACCAGGCUGGAUUGA